rnacentral:rRNA from 1 species
GAUGAACGCUGGCGGCGUGCCUAAUACAUGCAAGUCGAGCGAACAGACGAGGAGCUUGCUCCUCUGACGUUAGCGGCGAGCGGGUGAGUAACACGUGGAUAACCUACCUAUACGACUGGGAUAGCGUCGGGAAACCGGAGCUAAUACGGGAUAAUAUCUUGAACCGGAUGGUUCAAUAGUGAAAGACGGUGUUGGUGUCACUUAUAGGUGGAUCCGCGCCGCAUUAGCUAGUUGGUAAGGUAACGGCUUACCAAGGGAACGAUGCGUAGCCGACCUGAGAGGGUGAUCGGCCACACUGGAACUGAGACACGGUCCAGACUCCUACGGGAGGCAGCAGUAGGGAAUCUUCCGCAACGGGCGAAAGCCUGACGGAGCAACGCCGCGUGAGUGAUGAAGGUCUUCGGAUCGUAAAACUCUGUUAUUAGGGAAGAACAAAUGUGUAAGUAACUAUGCACGUCUUGACGGUACCUAAUCAGAAAGCCACGGCUAACUACGUG